AUCACUAAGCGGAGGAAAAG
rnacentral:rRNA from 1 species